rnacentral:tmRNA from 1 species
GGGGACGACAUGGUUUCGACGGGAGUCGCGGGGUUAGAGACUGCAUGCCGAGGUUCCAGUACCUCGUAAAACCGCUGGAAGCUAAAUGUAAACGCAGACAAUGCGUAUGCUCUGGCUGCCUAAUUAGUGCAGCCACGUCCCUUGCGGGCUUGGCCCACUGGGCCCGUGCCGGGGCGUCGCUGACAGUGAGCUAGCCGAGGAUGAUGCUCAGGCGUCCUUGGCGAACCUGCGCUGAGCUGGCCAGCUCCGGGCCUUGCCGGUUGCGCCUGGAGCAGGCGAGAGCAAGCAACAGGCUAAGCAUGUAGAGGUCUCUAAGACCGGGCUUUCGGACGUGGGUUCGAUUCCCACCGUCUCCACCA